GACUUUUUUCCAAUGUAAAUUUGGCUUUUAAAAUUAUUCAAAUAAUAAAUUCUCAUUAGGAUUUAAUUUGAAGGCUGGGUAUGGUGGCUUAUGCCUGUAAUCCCAGCACUUUGGGAGGCCAAGGUGGGAGGGCUGUUUGAGCCAAGGAGUUCAAGAACAGCUUGGGCAACAUGGCAAAACCUUGUCUUUACAAAAAAUUUAAAAAUUAGCCAGGCAUGGUGGUGUGCACCUGUAGUUCCAGCUACUUGGAAGGCUGAAGUGGGAAGAUCACUUGAGCCUGGGAGGUGGAGGCUGCAGUGAGGUGUAAUCUCGCAACUGUACUCCAGCCUGGGUGACAGAGUGAGA
rnacentral:lncRNA from 10 species